UUGUGUUUAGUAAAAUGGGUCUGGCAUGUUAAAUUUUAUUUAAAAAUUAUAUUAUAUGCUCUGAAUUCCGUGAAACAUGCCUGUACAGUUUAUGAAAUCUAUUUUUAUAUUUAUGCAUUCUCAGCAUGGCUAUGAUCUGUUCUGUUCUGUUCUGGCCCCGCCAAUGGAGAUUAUACGUUGGACUUGUCGACUUGUAAUCUGUGAGGAACCGGUUUCGACACCGUGCCACCGGUGAUUAGAAUAGUGGUUUCUGGACACCGGUGACUAACAAUAGUGGUUUCUGGCACUCUGUGCAACCCAUGCCACUGGGUUACGUGGCCGUAGCCUAUCAUGUUGAGAUUCUGGUAUCAGAGUUUUCGGAAAAAUGAUAAUAAGUUUUGAAAACAGCAAAACAAUGAUAUUUGUGAUUGAUUCCAGACAUUAUCCUGUAUUUUGAUCUGUUAUUCUCUGACCCCACUUUGGGGUAUUUUGUUGCUUACUGGGCUAGUGUAACUUAUUAUUUUAUUUUCUCUGUUUUUCAGAUCCAGAGGCUUGAUCGCACGGGAUUGGGGAGUGCGUUAGAUUUUUCGAUGAUUUCUUCGAUUAUGGGCAUUUUAGUUAAAUUAGUUUGGACAUUUGAACUAUGUUGGCAUAUGCUAUUUUGAAAUUUUGUAAGUCCGCUUUUGAACAAUUUAAAUAAUUAUGUCAUCUUUGAAUAGCUGUAUCUGCUUUGAUAUGAUCUGCUGCCUUGCGCACCCGUGCGGCCCGCCGUGCGGGCGUGCGGCGUCUGCCGCGCCUCGGGCUCGGGGCAUGACAUUUAGGGUGGGAGCAAAAGGAUUCAUUCCGAGUGGUUGGAGCUUCUUGGGUGAAGGAGGAGAUGAUGAAGUGUAAUAUGAUCUUAUCGUGGGGUAAGAUUGAGGAGAGGGGGAAUUAUUAUGCACGGGCCCAGAAUAUGAGUGCUUGUAGCUUAUCCCAUUAUCAUUUUUGCUGUGGGUCAAAUUGUAAUUUAGGCUUAAGUUGUAGCAGGCCUUUGGCUUUACCUAUAGCUUGUGAUGAAGUAGCAAGCUUUCGAACGCCAAAUCUGGGUGGUCCUUUCAACUCAACCUAUAGGUAGGUCGAGUGCCCUAUUCAAACACAUCUGAAGCAAAGCUCCGAUAGGUUUCCGUAGAUAAAUUGUUAUCAAAAAACAAAGUCAAGAUCUUGAAUUCAUCAGCCAAGUUUCAGUGGUUCGGCAAUAUCAUUCCAUACAAAAACACGGGCAUAGCCAACUCCCCAGCGCUGAUCAGUAAAGACGCCCAUGAUC
rnacentral:lncRNA from 1 species